AAAAACAGUUUUGUAGGAAAGCUUAACUCGCCAAAAGAACAUUAUAUAACAAUGCAGGUCCCUUUUAACAGUUUCAAGUCUUUGGUGUGCUCUUAUUUUGACGGGACACUCUCCCCUGACGCUCAGCUGCAAAACGAAACCUUCCAAAACACUAAACGUCAACGAAAAGCACGUGUCGACCUCCCGCUUGCCGUACUUGGCUCCGCCAUUGUUUGACAGGUCUCGUUGCUAACCAGAGGCUUUCAUGGUUACCAACUCAACAACACCAAAAGAAAGAAACUUCCAAGCCUUCCAUGGCUUUAUAGAAAGCUUUUCGACAACACAGAAAGCAUGGAAGAGGACAACCGCCUUAGACAGGGAGAGAAAAGAAUGAGAGUUAACUUCACUCAGAGAUGGAGCAUGGUGUAGGAAGACAGACAGGACAAAAGACGAAGAAGAGGGGUUAUAUUUAAAGACUACAAGAUGAAUCCAAACUGCUCCAGCAUUCUAAUGGCCAGGGUAAAGUGGCCUGGUGCUUGAGAGAAGCUGUUCAAUGGCUGCAGCAUGCAGAUUCGCUUACAAGAACAGAGAAGCUGAGAUCACACCUGACGACGCUACACCUGUAGAAUGUACAAAGACUACAGAUCAAGUAGAGUCGCAGGUAAGAGGUCUAAGUGGAUGCUGCUGCCCGUGGGUAGUACCUAUAUAAGAACUUUUACUGUGUUGUCUUUCUGAGCUCCUGAGUUCAGCAUUUAAAGUUAUGGGACAAGAUUUACUAACGUGAUGCACCGGUGCAAGCUGAGUGAAAUAUUUUUCUACUGAUAUUUAGUGUGUAUAUAUAUACUAGAGAGAGAGAUAACCAAAGUUAUAUAUAACUUCACUUUGGUUCUUUUGUGCAGACUUAGUGCCAAGGCUUUUGAUUAACCUCAUUCAAACUCGCGUCUGUGAUUUGAACACAGGGAGCACAGUGGCACAGAUGUGUACUGAUAUUUGUGAACCGUAAAAAUUGCGAAUUUAACAUAAUGUCACAUUUAAAUUACUUAAAGUAACUUACUUCAGUGGAGUACUUAUGUAAAUAUCUAUCUAGCUUAAGUACAAUUUUUUAAUUUGCUCACAAUAACAGAAAACCAAGGAACUGAUUUUGUAACUUCUUGUUAUGCAGAGAAACUAAGGCAGUCCAAAGGAAAGAGCAUUUCCAAUAUACAGCUACAGAUAUUUUCACAUUCCUUCACUUGAAAGGGAUGAAAAACUGAAAAGUCAAUUUUAACAACCCGGGAAUAUAUAGAAAGCGUUUUUUCUGAGUGCAUUGUCUGCUUGUAGAAACAAAAGUGAAAGCCUCUGUUCACUUAUAACAAACUGAUAAACACUGGCCACUGUUGGCAGAUUGUUUCAAGCCCAGCAAUGAUGUUUGUUCUUUUAACUUUAUGUAAUUCUUAAAUGCAAAUUAUGGAUUAAGAAACAAAGAAAUUGUAAACGUGUGUGCAUCCACGCAUUGAAUGUAGUGUUUUUAUCUCCCUUCUUAAAUAUUGUUGAACCAUGCAGGGCAUUUUCCAUCUCUUGACACUGUCCCCCUUAUUUUUAACAAUAAUAACAUAUGCAUUGUGAGAUACUGAACACUGUUGACCAUGGUAAUCUUGAAUUUUCCUUUUGCACUUUGAGAAUUUUGACAUUUUUGUCACCUAGUAGAAUGUCUUGACAGGUACUGGAUGGAUUACCAUGAAAUUCAAUGCAAAUAUCUGUUUUCCCCUAAUGAUGAAUUCUUAUAAUUUGCAUGAUCCCUAGAGUUUCCAUCUUCUGCUGUCAUUUUGUCUAUCAUGUUAGAUUCAUCUGUGAUCUAGUCACUGAGAGGCUAGGGCACCACGUGGAAUGAAAUGCCCUAAACAGACAGGUCCAUGAUUUGCCUCCCAGCUAGAUAAUCCUCCUCUGCUUGUUAUUCCCCUGCUGUUUCCUGCAUUGCUGGUCAGUCCACACUUUGCUAUCUAAAACACCAAAAAAAGAAAUAAAACAGGUUUAUAACUAAACACCUGCAAGACUCGCACCUUGUUUUGUGCUUUUUACCCACUGCUAACACUAAGAUGCUACACAUGAUCACCAUUCCACUUGUUUUGUGCAUAAGCAUGUUAGAAUUACCACUAAGAGCAUUUGGGCAUUUAACAUUUCCUUCAAAGCCUUCCUGUGGACAGCCUUAAAAGCUGCUAACAUGCCUAUAUCUACACAGAUAGUUAUUCCACCUCAGAAUAUUUUGGGUUCUUUGACAAAGUAUGCCACUAACAUAAGUACCUAACACAGAAAAAUAAGAACAGUAGUACUUAAUAACUGGGCAGUUUUGUUUUGCAGAAGCAGGUGAUCCAUUAUGCAUUACAUUAGCCAUGGCAUUACCAUGGUUCAGUCCCCUAUUAUGGAGUUUUUGAAAACACCGGGAUCUCACAGUACAUUGUCUGAAAAUAGAAAUUGAACCAGGUAAGAAACUGACGAAUUGCUAAAGAGGAAGGAAAGAGAGGGGGGAGUGAAAAGCACCUUACUUGCUGGGCUUUGGCCGAUGAGUGUGUCCUUUCCCAUUACUCUCACACAGCGCAAUAUGCAGGUCAGUCAGGUGGUAAUGAAUGCUCUGUCUGAUACUUGGCCUUUCUCCCUCCAUGCUGCUCGUCUGGUUCGCUCUCUCUGCUGUAUCCUCUCUGUUUCUUCACUUUUUUUAACCAGGAAUCCCAUCUUCUCUUUAUUGGGAAACAUCUUGCAGUUUAAAUGUGUCUCGGAUCAGUUUGUGAGACAAUAUAGAUGUCAAGUUUUCUGUCUCUUUCUUAAUUAAUCAAAACCCAACUCCAGCCCACAGUCGUCUGAUGGUGAAACCUAAUUUUGUCAGCUUUAUAUGAAGAAAAACAGAAGGAAAGUUUUGUUAGUAGAUCAUUCACUUUAGUCUCCACAGUGCACACAGAGCUAAUCAAAUUCUGUGCACAGUGACUCCCACUGCAUGACCAUCUGCAAUAGGAAGGAAUGUGAUCAUGCAUUCAUUCAACGUUUGGCUGAAAUAAAUAAAAGCAAGUUGAAUAUGUAAUAUUUUGACAUUUCUUGUAAACACUAAACUAUUAAUAAAAAUCAAUUAUUAUUAUUAUUUUGGAAUUCAUACUUUUUGUAUGGUAAUUUUCUUUUUAGGAGGAAAACAAAAACAAUGUUGCUAUUGCACGUUUCUUAAACUGGACUUUUUAGUGGUUUCAUAUUUUUCCUUAGAAGUGCACCAGUCCUGUGAUUGACAGUUGUAACUACUGAUA